AGCGAACGCUGGCGGCAGGCUUAACACAUGCAAGUCGAGCGGACCCUUCGGGGUCAGCGGCGGACGGGUGAGUAACGCGUGGGAACGUGCCUUCUGGUCUGGAAUAACCCUGGGAAACUAGGGCUAAUACCGGAUACGCCCUUUUGGGGAAAGGUUUACUGCCGGAAGAUCGGCCCGCGUCUGAUUAGCUAGUUGGUGGGGUAACGGCCUACCAAGGCGACGAUCAGUAGCUGGUCUGAGAGGAUGAUCAGCCACACUGGGACUGAGACACGGCCCAGACUCCUACGGGAGGCAGCAGUGGGGAAUAUUGGACAAUGGGCGCAAGCCUGAUCCAGCCAUGCCGCGUGAGUGAUGAAGGCCUUAGGGUUGUAAAGCUCUUUUAUCCGGGACGAUAAUGACGGUACCGGAGGAAUAAGCCCCGGCUAACUUCGUG
rnacentral:rRNA from 1 species